UCCCUGGUGGCUCGGAGAGUAAAGCGUCUGCCUAUAAUGCAGGAGACCCAGGUUCAAUCCCUGGGUUGGGAA
rnacentral:tRNA from 1 species